UACGAAGGGGGCUAGCGUUGUUCGGAAUUACUGGGCGUAAAGCGCACGUAGGCGGGUCGUUAAGUCAGGGGUGAAAUCCCGGAGCUCAACUCCGGAACUGCCUUUGAUACUGGCGAUCUUGAGAUCGGAAGAGGUGAGUGGAAUUCCCCAGUGUAGAGGUGAAAUUCGUAGAUAUUGGGAAGAACACCAGUGGCGAAGGCGGCUCACUGGUCCGAUACUGACGCUGAGGUGCGAAAGCGUGGGGAGCAAACAGG
rnacentral:rRNA from 1 species